UUACUUUCGUUUUUCAAUUAAAUUGACAUCAUCAUCUUUGUUAUAUACAAGUGUUUUUGGUAAGGGGCGAUAAGAAAAGGACGGUAAAGUCCCUUAAUUAAAGCUUCCUCAUGUUCUCUAAGUUCACAGUGUGUUGUAAUGAGUGGCAGGCCUCUUUCGAGCGCCCUUAACUCUUAAAUGAUCCAUCUGCAGGUUCACCUACAGAUA
rnacentral:misc_RNA from 1 species